GCUGGUGUAAUUUAAAAACUUCUACAUUGCGUGGGUAUGAAACAAGCUCGUAUGCUUCUGUGAAGGAGUAGGAGUAAACGACAUUUAGUCUAGCCGUAGCAGUAGAAGACGCUCGUGCCUCAAAAGGACCCUGCACAGGGCUCGCUCAGCAACUGUCUCUCUGCAGGGAAGCCUGGGGUUUGAGGAUCUGUGGUGGACAAGGGCCAGUGAUGGCAGCGUGACCUGGGAUGGUGCUGUGAUGAGUAAUUGCAACAGAAAUAGGUAAUGGCGGAAGCACACCUGUUUGUCAUGGAUUGAAAAAUGAAGAUCCAGGAAGUACUUUGAGUAUAAUGACUUGGCGUUCUGUGUUCAUAAAAGUUACUAGAACUUUUUCCAAAUCCAACUAUUUCCAAAUUUAAAAAACCUGAGAGGAUAUAGCACAGGAAGCUAUGGAAGCUUUUAUUUCAAUAGUUUUGUCCUUGAAAUAUUGUCAUUAAAGAAUAAAUGCCAUUAAAAAAAGAAACAGUUCCACAAAUGACUUAGCUAGAUAUCUGGCACAUGUAUUUAUAGUAAAGUUGCCAACUGUCCGUUUUUUUGACCCAACAGCCGGUUUUAAGGAAGUUUGUACCCGGUCAGAACCCCCUCAGAUCGCUUCACUCACAUUUCUGGUUUUGUCCGGUUUUAGAAAAGUUUGCAACCCUAAUUGAUAGCCACCUUGAUUUUUUUGUUUUUUUUUAACAUUUUGAAAAUAAUCUUGCUUGCAGUUCUAUGUUCUGAAUGUUGUAAGCUUUACACUGGAGCAAAUGCUGAGUAAAUCCGUUCCCUGCCCAUUUAAAAAAGUUGAAAGUUUAGAGAAACCUUGCAUACACACCUCCGCCCACGCAGUUACACAGGAAUAGACGACACAGAGUCAUCAUCGCUCCAUCUUUUCUUGGGCACCAGAUACAGAGCCUUGUCUGGGUGGAAAUAUGAACCCCCUCAUGAUCAGACCAGAAUUUCUUUUUACGCUGUAUGGGUGGCAUUUUCCACGUGCCUCUGAAGACAGCUAGGGAGCCCGUCGUAACUGAAAUAGGAGACAGCUCACUCCCAAGCAACGAGAAAAAAAUAAAAAAAAUAAUGAUGUUGCUGACACCUGUCUGGUCGUGAUAAUUGUAUGUACUCAGUGGAGGGGGAGAAUCCUCUCUGUGUAAAUACAGAGAAUGGUUUCCAAGGGAGAAGAUAGAGCAGUCUGUGUGACUGAUGCUUGUUGUAUUGAUGUGUAGCUGCAUCUCGCUGGGACUGUUUGUUGUAUCGAUUUGGAGCUUGGAAUAUUGCAACCAUCAACGUGGAAUUUGUUGAGUGACCCUGACUUUGACCUCCUAUGUGUGGACUGAGGUGAGUAAACCUCUGUGGAGUGUAUUUGGACUGCACUGUAAUUGUCUGUUGCAGAUAACAAGAUGAUACUGUAACUGCAGUGCUAGUGUUACAACCAAUGACAUGCAAAUAGUUGUAAUCUCUACUUUAUACCUCCAAUCUUACUAUGCUUGUUAAACUACACGUUCAGCACAGGAUAAGCGGGUACCAAAAUUAAAACUUCCUGUAGGAUUUCUGUCCAAUGUGCCUCUUGGCUCCCAUGUUUUGUUUUUCUUCGUUUGACUUUACUUCUUUGUGUCUGGAGCACUCUACGCUUUGCAGCACACUUUUGCCAAAAUGAACUAGAUAUCUCUUAUGCCAGCUGAGCCGCGGCACCUAGUGUUAAGAAUCACAGGCUGCACAGCAACAGCCCACUGGAUUGAUUCUGAUUAGCUUAUUAUUAUGAGCAAUGUCUACUGGGCCACCCAUUGAAUCUUUUCAAAAGCAGCCAAAGGCACAAAAAUAAUUCAGAGGGGCUGAUCGUUGGAAGACAAAGACAAGAGCCCGAACCAAAUGAAAAGAAGUCUUUGUUUGUGUGAGAGUGCUUUUCUGCUCUUUUGGACAUUUUACAUUCCUCUUUUAAAGCACUGUGUAAUCAGACGCAGAUUAUGUAUCGGUCCCAUAAGUUUCCUGUGCAUUUUCUUGUAUCUUCAUUCUUUAAAGUAUGUGGAAGUUCUAUCUGUAGUGUAAAUACACAGUAUACUAAGACAACACUGCCUUGGUCCUUGCAAAUAAACAUGGUCUAAGAUGUUGUUUUAUGUGCCUUGCACUGGGGUUUUUUGUCAUCGUAUUUUCAUGUGUGCUUUAGGUUUAAUAUAAAUCUACUAAAUUAAAAAAAGCCAGCUCUUAGCCUAAUCUAGUUAUUUUUAUUACUGAACAAUCAAAUACAAAAAAAUAAACAUGAUGGUUAGCAAAGCCCAAGGAGACCUGGGACACUAGAUCUUUCUGUUUAACACUUCCUGCUGCUUACUAGGGCAUCCCACUAUCAUCAAAACAGAAUCAAUUAAUAUAAGAA